rnacentral:lncRNA from 1 species
AAGUGAUGAGAAAGGCUUUGAAAACCAUCGAUCUAAGCAUGAGAUUCAAAAGUCUGACUCGACUAGCCAUGGCUAGCCAGUGAAGGUCAGAGACAACAGGAGAACAGCCAUGAACUGAAAUCGAACAGGGUCUGGACAAAGCUCUUUCAAGAUUUAGCCUUGAGACCAUAAGAAUCGAAACGUUAAAGCCAUUGGAGGUUGAUACAGGUUUUCGCUGACCUUGGAAGCCAUAGAUUUGGGAAGUAUUAUGGUUGUAAUUUUAUGGUGGCAGCUAGGGUUUAUGAGGGAUUGAAUAGAGAGUUGAGAGGGAAAGGGAUUCAAGUCA